AUUGAACGCUGGCGGCAGGCCUAACACAUGCAAGUCGAGCGGAUGAAGGGGGCUUGCUCCUGGAUUCAGCGGCGGACGGGUGAGUAAUGCCUAGGAAUCUGCCCGGUAGUGGGGGAUAACGUCCGGAAAGGGGCGCUAAUACCGCAUACGACCUGAGGGAGAAAGUGGGGGAUCUUCGGACCUCACGCUAUCAGAUGAGCCUAGGUCGGAUUAGCUAGUUGGUGGGGUAAAGGCCUACCAAGGCGACGAUCCGUAACUGGUCUGAGAGGAUGAUCAGUCACACUGGAACUGAGACACGGUCCAGACUCCUACGGGAGGCAGCAGUGGGGAAUAUUGGACAAUGGGCGAAAGCCUGAUCCAGCCAUGCCGCGUGUGUGAAGAAGGUCUUCGGAUUGUAAAGCACUUUAAGUUGGGAGGAAGGGCAGUAAGUUAAUACCUUCCUGUUUUGACGUUACCAACAGAAUAAGCCACGGCUAACUUCGUG
rnacentral:rRNA from 1 species